GGACUCUCACACCAAGUUUGAGCCCAUUUGGCUGAAAACUGGCUUGUCGCUCGGGGGUUAAAGUUUACAUGGAAAUUACUAUGGGAAAUGCGCGAUUUUGCUUCAAACGCUCCUACAAGCUAAGCGACAAACUUUAACCCACACUUACACUAGGUAGCCGUGUCGGGGGUGGUCCAAGGAACAUUUUUCUCUAAGGGUUCAUGGUCAUCCGUUCAACCCUGAGCUUGCGCAAACCCGAAACAUCCGGCGACGCCAGAAUCCUUCGAAAUCGCAGUUUUAACGGUCAUCGCAUACUGCGAAACUAUGACAAGCCUCAUGUGAAUGAACGGGAAAAACGACGCCAAACGUCAAAUCACUAAAAUGGAAGCAGGAAGUGAUAGUUUGCGCUCCUCCAACCAAGUGUUCCUACUUGGAAAGAUUAAUGGAAAUCUGAAGCUCCACCGCACACCCACCGACCGGGAAUUAUUGUGUGCAGUGUUGUGGGAGAAUCGUCAAGGUAAAAACCAAGUUAAAAAGGCGGUCGUGGACAUUUCAAGGAAGGUGAGCGAUGCUUUGAAGCUUCCAUUAUGGAAACUUAAGCAGCACGUUCAAGGGUUGUAUGAUUCUUGGAGAGGGUUAUACAAAAACAAAAACCGAAACUCAACUAAAGCAGAACAGGACAGGAAGCAAUUCCUGCUUAAAUUGGCGCAGAAGUGUGAUUCUACGUGGAAAAUCCACUGUUCAGAAGAUGCAGCAACUGAUACGGAGACAGCCAAUCAGGAUGAGUCUUCCGUUAGUUUGGAUUGUUCUUCAACCAUAACAGGUGGACAAAUUGAAGACGUGAUUUGUUCCAACGAUGUUCAGCACCAGGAUGAUGAUAUCGAUGUUGAUCAAUGCCAUGUUCACGAAGAUGAGGACGAUGAUAAUAAAGUUUUCCUGGUAGGGGUAUUGGAAGACUUUGUGGGUUUGGAUUGCGCUCCAAACAAUCGGCAGUUGCUGAGUGCAAUUUUGCACCGACAUCGUAUUCAAAAACAGCCAUUUGGUAAAGCUAUCUUGGAUGUCUCGUGUUCAGUGGGCAAAGCUCUGAAUCUACCAGCAUGGAAAAUU